CGUGCGUGUGUGCAUGCGUGCGUGUGUGUGUGCAUGCGUGCGUGUGUGCAUGUGUUUGUGUGUACAGUAAACAAUACCUGUACAUGUUCGUGUGUGUUUGUGACUCUGCGUCUGUUUACAAGGACCGGUUUUGUCUGCCUUGAGGGCAGGAAGCUUCAUGUGGGAACAAAACGAUGGACUAUUAACACCUUUUAUUGAAGAUCAGAUUUGUUAAUUGACAGUUCAGCCCAGUUAAUUUCCUCUUUGAACCCAGCAGAGCAUGCCUCUGCAUGAAGUACGAAGACGUAAGACUCCAAGACAUCUCUCUGUCUUCUUUUAUUCUGCUGUGCUGAGUACAGCUGAUAACAAGUCGAGCUUCUAUGCUGGCGUUAUUGCAUGAAGAGCCUCAGACGCGGUGUGGAAGUAGAUUGUGCUCAAAGUAUUUUUUCUUUAUUAUAAAUCUUGUACAUCGGCCUCUAUUUUGUAUUUUGAAAUCAGUACAAGUUAGGGAGUACACCGUUGUCUCAUAUCAGCACAUAGCUGACCAACGGGAACAAAAAAAAAAGACCAGAGUGGUGCCCAGAAAAGUUACAAAAGACUAACAACAGCAGAAUUUACUGCCAAGCUCCCUAAAAUAAUAUCACUGUGUGGAACAGCAAAUCCCCUCUGCAGAAAGAAGAGACUGUACUCUGUCAUUGUUAGCGAGGGAAUCCUGCCCGUCAGCAUAUCGGUGGCAGCAAGGACCCCGGACUGCUCCCACAGCCCUGGUGGUCCUGGGAUCAUCACCUCAAAGCAGCCAUGACAGAGCAUGUUUAGAAAGAUCCACCUGAGAUGAACAACAGAAGCAAAGUGAUGAUUGGUCACUGUGGUAGCAGCGCCCCAAACCUUCUUAUCAUCUUCUUUAACCUUCAUGAAACUUUUAUUAGCAAGACUAACAUCAAACUGUAUUGCAGAUGUAACCCGCAAUCGAAAUCACAAACACGUUCAUAAAAAGCUUACUGAGAUGAAGCGAGAGACACAUUCACUUAUUCCUUCUCUUCCAUACAGUCAUACCGUUCUCAUGUGUGUCGCCCCCUGCAGGCUGUUGCAAGUCAUAAAGAAUUAAUGCACUUGAACUCAGGCUCCACUUUUUUUUAUAAACAUAUUUUUAUUGAAUUUCACAUUCAUCAGGACAUGUACAAUAUAUGUAUGUAACAAAAGUAUGACAUAAAACAACCCUCCCAAAAUAGAACAUGUGGCAGUAACAAUAAUAAUAACACAAGAAUAAUAAAAGUAAUUUGUACAAUACAAAUGACAAAAUAAAUAAGUGAAAUAAUAAACAUAAACAGUCACAUUUGACACAUAUUUCUUGCACUAGUAACAUCAGCAUUUUUAACAAAUUCCAAAAACAACUCCCAAGUUUUACCAAAUUCUGAAGCUUUCUUCCUAACUAUAUAUGUAAGUUUUUCAAGAGCCAGACUUGCUGAUAAUUCUUUUUAACCAACGUCCAACAGGCUCCACUUUUAAGUCCAAGAGGCUACAUUCACUUCUUAUGACAAUCUGUGGUGUUUGCGGGUGUAUGGAUAGAGAAGAAAUAAGGCAGGUUGAGAGAUUCAUUCAUUUAGAGAUUUGUGUUUAAAGAUCCGUCUGCUACAGUAAACAUAUUCCCUGCAUGAUGGGAAGGGGCAAAUGAUUUUCUGCAUCUCCCUUCUGCAGCCAAUACCUGCCAUCAUUUACUACAUUUUAUUUCCAGUUAAUAUUGCAGUUUAUAAGUUGAAUAAAGACAGUGUUUGCUUAGGUUCAGAGUAAAGGAAGCCAAAAAAUGUCCUCCCCGUUCCAGUUGACAGCAGAGAAGCAGGAGGUAGGUCUUAAUCUAGAAAUGCUAAAUACCUGCAUUACAUUGGUUAAUACAUGUACUGUUAUGUAGGCUAAUCCGCAGCAGCACUGUCCGCUGUAAGAGAGCCACGUUGUGCUCAGCAGGAGCCUGCAUGCUGGCUGGACGCUAAUAGACUACAGGAUCAUUCAGAAGACUAUUCCUGGAUAUUUCGAGAGAAAUUACACACACACAGAAAAACAAAAAAAAAAGGGAGCCACCAUCAGUCUUCGGUAACCAUUUGACACCUGGGCUCUUGGCUGACUGCUAUUUUGCGACACACACACACAAGGGCAUUUGGGCCUCUUUUGGCUCUUCAGACACGUCAUAUUGUAGAAUCAUAUACACACACACACAC